AGAGUUUGAUCCUGGCUCAGAAUGAACGCUGGCGGCGUGCCUAACACAUGCAAGUCGAGCGAGAAAGUUCCUUCGGGAAUGAGUAAAGCGGCGGACGGGUGAGUAACGCGUGAGAACUUGCCUUUUGGUGAAGAAUACCUCCGAGAAAUCGGGGUUAAUGCUGCAUAAGUCCCUUCGGGGAGAAAGAUGGCUUUAUGCUGUCGCCAAAAGAUAGGCUUGCGUACUAUUAGCUAGUUGGUAGGGUAAAGGCCUACCAAGGCGAUGAUGGUUAACCGGCCUGAGAGGGUGAUCGGUCACAUUGGAACUGAGAUACGGUCCAAACUCCUACGGGAGGCAGCAGUGAGGAAUAUUGCGCAAUGGGCGAAAGCCUGACGCAGCGACGCCGCGUGAAGGAUGAAGGUCUUCGGAUUGUAAACUUCUGUUAAGUGGGAAGAAAGCUUGUUUUAUAAUACAAGACAAGUAUGACGGUACCAUUAGAGAAAGCACUGGCUAACCUCGUGCCAGCAGCCGCGGUAAUACGAGGGGUGCAAGCGUUAUUCGGAAUGACUGGGCGUAAAGGGCGCGUAGACGGUAUAUUAAGCUUGUCGUUAAAUUCCCCAGCUUAACUGGGGGCCUGCGGCGAGAACUGAUAUUCUAGAGGGUGAGAGAGAAGAGUGGAAUUUCCGGAGUAGCGGUAAAAUGCGUAGAUCUCGGAAGGAACACCGAUGGCGAAGGCAGCUCUUUGGCUCAUACCUGACGUUGAGGCGCGAAAGCGUGGGGAGCAAACAGGAUUAGAUACCCUGGUAGUCCACGCUGUAAACUAUAAUCACUAGAUGUUAGUUUGGCAUUGCUAAAUUAGUAUCGAAGCUAACGCGUUAAGUGAUUCGCCUGGGGGAGUACGGUCGCAAGAUUAAAACUCAAAGGAAUUGACGG
rnacentral:rRNA from 1 species